UGGAAUUGUGGUGAGGAUAAAAUGAGAUAAAAUUUGUAAGAGCACUUUCCAAACCUUGAAAAAAACACAGAACAAAUGUUAGCUAUCACCAUUAUCAGAAAACACAUCUCAACUUAGCCUUGAUUUAUUUAUUAGAGGAGAAAGUCUUAAUCAAUAAAUCAAAGACUUUUAUCUAAAUACAAAAAGUACUUGCAAGCCAUUAGAUGCAGUGAUGUUGUAUCACUGAGAAGUAUGUUCUGAAUGAGUGAGGGAUUAGCUAACAUCUUUUGCAUCCUACAUAAAAUCGUGGAUCUCAUCCAUAAUGCAAGAAAUUAGAGCAUGUAGAGAGGGCAGAAUAUACCAUCUAAUAGCCUGUGAAGGACUUGAUGAAUGGGAAAUCAGCCUCAAUAUAGGUCUCCUUCUUUUCCUUCCCUUCAUCUUUAGUAAGGGAAGGAACCUUUGAAUUUUGAAAGGUCCAAAGCAUUUUGGACUUUCUAUUUUCCCAAUAGCAUCCCAGUAGUAUCAUAAAAACAACUGGCAGUGACUAUGUCAGAGAUCUGAGGACAGACUGGGCAAAGAUUCACUGUUCUACAAACAACUUAGCAGAAGGACUCCAGCAAAAACACUUCCAAGAAUUGACUUUGAUGACUCAGGAAGAGAGAGGGAAGCUGAUGACUCUGCAAGUCUGUCUCCCUUAAAUCCAAUUCACAUGUCAUAGGUGGGAAAAAUGGAAGAUUUUGUGUUUGGAAACCCAUGUGAUGAAUUCUACCAUAAAGUGUCAUGAAGAAAUUGUCAUUGGUAGAACUUGCCAUCAAACUGAUUCUAGCAGGUGCUGGGAAAGUCCUGUUCUGCUCCUGCCUCUGUUUACUAACCUACUGUUUCCUUCCCUCCCUCCCAAUAUCUUAGUCCCAUUUCUGCCCCAGUGACUCAAUCUUUGUAGUGCAGAUUCCCAUGGUGUUUGUCCUAGCUUCUUCAUGCAUUCCAGCUUUUGCUGUGAUAGUUCAGUUUACCUCAGGAAGCUAUUGGGGGAGUCACCUGCUUCUCUAGCAGUUUACCUUUUUUCCCCUUCCAAUCCACCUGGAAUUGAAUGGAAUUAUGAGUAGUCUAUCUCACCAAAAACUGGGAGAAAAUAAACGAACAAAGAAAGCAGACCUGAUUGUGUUCCUGCAUCCAAAAUUUCACUUUGUUCCAUGAUCCCUUUGUGACAUCAUCGUUAUCCUUAGUGCAUCUGUGGACAAUCUUGCUUUCAGUGGUCAGUUUUUGCUGUGAUGGUCCUUUGUGUCCCUUCAGCUCUCACAGAGCUGAGAUACAUUGAAGAAAUCCUGUGUACAAAUUAUUAUAACACAAUAGAACAAGAUAAAUUCAUAAAAGAAGUAUAGACAAAGUACAAUGCUAGUUCAGAGAACAUGAAAGGUAACUUCUAGCUCAGCAUAUCGAAGGAGAGGGACAAGAGGAAGAAACAGUAAGUUGUUGGCAGCAUUUGACUUGAGUUAAAUGUUAAAAAUUAAAAACAUUAACAACAAGAAUAACUGGAUUUAUUGAGUUCAAGUUUGCAAAGGCUUUACAGAAUUACUUUGUAUUUAUUUUGCAUUUUUAAAACUGGUAUUUUUCCAUUA